rnacentral:rRNA from 1 species
GACGAACCGUCCAAACGUUAUUCGGUAUCACUGGGCCUAAAGCGUGCGUAGGCGGUCUAGUAGGUGAGAUGUGAAAGCCCACGGCUCAACCGUGGAAUUGCGUUUCAAACCACUAGGCUUGAGGAUGGCAGGGGUGAUGGGAACUGAUGGUGGAGCGGUGAAAUGCAUUGAUAUCAUCAGGAACACCGGUGGCGAAGGCGCAUCACUGGGCCAUUUCUGACGCUGAGGCACGAAAGCUAGGGUAGCGAACGGGAGUUAGAUA